GAUGAACGCUAGCGAUAGGCUUAACACAUGCAAGUCGAGGGGCAGCACAAGGUAGCUUGCUAUCUGGGUGGCGACCGGCGCACGGGUGCGUAACGCGUAUGCAACUUGCCCUAUACAGGAGGAUAACCCGUCGAAAGACGGACUAAUACUGCGUAUGCUCACAACUUGGCAUCAAGUGGUGAGGAAAGAAAUUCGGUAUAGGAUAGGCAUGCGUCCCAUUAGCUUGUUGGUGAGGUAACGGCUCACCAAGGCAACGAUGGGUAGGGGAACUGAGAGGUUUAUCCCCCACACUGGUACUGAGACACGGACCAGACUCCUACGGGAGGCAGCAGUGAGGAAUAUUGGUCAAUGGGCGCGAGCCUGAACCAGCCGAGUCGCGUGAAGGAUGACUGUCUUAUGGAUUGUAAACUUCUUUUAUACGGGAAUAACAAGAGUCACGUGUGACUCCCUGCAUGUACCGUAUGAAUAAGCAUCGGCUAACUCCGUG
rnacentral:rRNA from 1 species